GCUACUGCAGUGGACUCUGGCCUGGUCUCUAAGCUUUCUUUCUUGAGGGAUCUGGUCAUACCACUCCCUAUGCAAAACCCUGUUGUAGAGCAAAGUCCAGGCUUGUUGCUUUAUCCUAAAAAGCCCCAUGGCAAGGGCCUCUGCCUGACUCCUUGACUUUGUGGACAAAUGGGUUUAUCUAUGGGGAAAUAAGAAUGCAACAUUCCUGACAUCAUGGAGGCCCAGCCUUCUAUCUAGAGUUAUAUAACAUCUUGGAAGGUUCCAAAGGCAUUAAGUCAAGUCCAGGUUUGUCAGUUUCUCCAAAAGAUGUCAAUGAAAACUGCAUACGUCUUGCAGCUGAAUAUCUAAAGUAUCAAUUGCCUGAAAAAUACUGAUGAGCAAAAUCCACUGGUGGCUACAAAGGUGAUUAUAAAGCAGUAGUGACCUAGUCGUGGGGAGAUAGCACACUGAGUUAAGGAAAGCUUGUGGGUGUUCUGGCCAGACUGACCUAGGUUCAAAUCCUUGCUGUGCCCUGUCCAGGGAAUGUUAGCUGCUGAAGCUCUCUGGGCUUUAUCAGUAACAAGGGGUGAUUUUGCCCUUUGAAGUUUGCUAGAAGAUUUUCUGACAGAGUGUCCUUUUCAGCGAGUGACAGAAAUGCAGUAGGUAGUCUCUUUCUCCUUUCCUAGAGAUGAAAAGAAACAGGAGCUGAUGAGAAGUUCUAGGCCUAUUGUUCUAGAAUACCCAGGCCUAUUG
rnacentral:lncRNA from 10 species